rnacentral:pre_miRNA from 1 species
AAAUACCCCAUGUUUUGAUUCUUUAGCAGUUUUGGACCCCUAAGACAAAAAAAUAAAAUAAAAUUGACACGUGCACCUCACUUAGGGUGCCACGUCAGUGUUGACCGAGUCAACAAUGGACUGGGGGUCCAAAACUGCCAAAGAAUCAAAACAUAGGGGCUGUUU